AGUGAACGCUGGCGGCAGGCCUAACACAUGCAAGUCGAACGGCAGCACAGUAAGAGUUUGCUCUUACCGGUGGCGAGUGGCGGGCGGGUGAGGAAUACAUCGGAAUCUUCUUUUUCGUGGGUGAUAACGUAGGGAAACUUACGCUAAUACCGCAUACGACCUACGGGUGAAAGCAGGGGAUCUUCGGACCUUGCGCGAUUGAAUGAGCCGAUGUCGGAUUAGCUAGUUGGCGGGGUAAGGGCCCACCAAGGCGACGAUCCGUAGCUGGUCUGAGAGGAUGAUCGGCCACACUGGAACUGAGACACGGUCCAGACUCCUACGGGAGGCAGCAGUGGGGAAUAUUCGGCAAUGGGCGAAAGCCUGAUCCAGCCAUACCGCGUGGGUGAAGAAGGCCUUCGGGUUGUAAAGCCCUUUUGUUGGGAAAGAACAGCUGCAGAUUAAUACCCCGCUGUUCUGACGGUACCCAAAGAAUAAGCACCGGCUAACUUCGUG
rnacentral:rRNA from 1 species